UAACACGUGGAUAACCUACCUAUAAGACUGGGAUAACUUCGGGAAACCGGAGCUAAUACCGGAUAAUAUUUUGAACCGCAUGGUUCAAAAGUGAAAGACGGUCUUGCUGUCACUUAUAGAUGGAUCCGCGCUGCAUUAGCUAGUUGGUGAGGUAAAGGCUCACCAAGGCGACGAUACAUAGCCGACCUGAGAGGGUGAUCGGCCACACUGGGACUGAGACACGGCCCAG
rnacentral:rRNA from 1 species